UCCUACGGGGGGCAGCAGUGAGGAAUAUUGGUCAAUGGGCGCGAGCCUGAACCAGCCAAGUAGCGUGAAGGAUGACUGCCCUACGGGUUGUAAACUUCUUUUAUAAAGGAAUAAAGUGAGGCACGUGUGCCUUUUUGUAUGUACUUUAUGAAUAAGGAUCGGCUAACUCCGUGCCAGCAGCCGCGGUAAUACGGAGGAUGCGAGCGUUAUCCGGAUUUAUUGGGUUUAAAGGGUGCGCAGGCGGUCUGUUAAGUCAGCGGUCAAAGCCCGGGGCUCAACCCCCGCCC
rnacentral:rRNA from 1 species